rnacentral:lncRNA from 1 species
AAUGUAAAGUACUACUUCUGCCACCAAAUGCAGAAUUGAUAAAAAUUUGUGAAUUCCUGAAAUCAUAAUCAGUAAAAGAGUGGGUCUUAUAUUAUACUAGAUCUACUAACCAAAGUUGAAGCCUGGCGUCUGUGUUGUGGGGUUAGAGGUUCCAAACUGAGUGCCUGAAAUGGCUGCGCCGAAGUUGAAUCCUCCAGUGGCUGGCUGGGCAGGGGUAGCAGGGGCCUGCUGUGUGGACACACCACCAAACGAGAAAGUUGGGGCGGAGGCUGGGAGUAUGCCGACAGUCUGGGUGGCAGAGCCAAAGGCCGGGGCUGCUGGGGUGCCCGUGGUGUUGCCAAAUGCAAAACCUGUGGAGUUUGCUCCAAAUGCCAGCUUAGUGGUGGUCCCAAAGGUAGAGGCCGCCGUAGUGGCAGCCGCGCCAAAAGCAAAAGGAGCAGGGGUGGCCCCAGUGGCAGGUGACCCAAAUGUGAAAGGAUUAGCUGCCGCAGUAGCAGCCGGGGCCUGAAUCGCACUGGGGAACGCCGAUGCCGCCGGAGCUUCGAACGACGACUUCCCAAACGUGAAAGUGGACUGGUUUGCAGGUGCAGAAGCAGUAGCAGUGGCUGCGGCUGCAGUGGCCAUGCCAAAGCCACCGAAGGAUGCGGUGGUAGAGUUCUGGGUGGCUACAGGCUGGCCAAAGGUGAAUCCCCCCUGGGCGGUGGCUGAGGGGGCAGGUUGAGUGGCGCCAGAGGUGGUGGUCAUCGCACCAAACGAAAAGCCGCUGUUGCUAGUGGUGGCGGCUGUGGUGGAGCUGAGGGUGGGUCCAGGAGCUGUGGUGGAGGCGGUGCCGAACUGGAAGGUACUUCCUGUGGCAGGGGCAGUGGUUGUGGCAGCAGUCGUUGCAGGCAGCGCACUCCAGUUUCCAAACAGAGACUUGACAGAUGGCGGGGCGGCUGGGUUGGUGGAGGGGGCGGUGCUAUUAGACAGCCCAGUGAACAGGGAGGCGGCUGGGGCCACUGUACUACUGUUGGUUAGCCUGCUGAACACUGUGGCAGAUGCACUGGCAUUGGAGGGGGCUGAGGUGGAGGCUGGCUGUCCGAAAGCACUGGUGGCUGUGGCACUUCCAAAUAUGGGUUUAAAGGUGGGAAGAGCAGGUGUGCCCUCUGAGGCUGGGGCCGUGGCCCCGAAGAUGGGCUUGAACACCGAGGCCAGGAGGGGAUUAUUACUACUGGUUGUUUCUGUGGUGGCGGUUGUGGUUGUGGUGGGGGCCGGUGAGGAGGACGGGGCAGUCAGUGGAUUGGCCAUUCCAAACAGGCUUGCUCCACCCAGGAUGGGGACACUGCUGGGGGCCUUGGUGACUUGGCUCAGCGCCUGGGUGAAGGCAGAGGGCAUGGUGCUGGCAGGCUGGGAGAGGGAGGGUAGUGCAGGCUGGGAGAGGGAGGGUAGUGCAGGCUGGGGAGCAGACAAGCUGGUCUUCGACUUCUGCUCUGCAGGCACCAGUGGUGCAGGGGGUGUCACUGCUUAUUGUCAGCAGCAGCACUGGUGAGGGGGUUGUUCCUCAUCAUUUUCAGAGACUCCAGGAGGGGGUUGGUGACGGGGGAGGCUGUGGAGGUUGGGGCCAUGGUGACAGUGCUUGAGGGGACGGGGUCCAGGUUGAUGACGGGGAUAGGAGCCGCCACACUAGCAGGCAUUGAUACGGUAAGAUGGCUGGCCUGCAGGGUGGGUGUGGGGUUGCCUGACACAGGAGGCUUAGAAGAUGUGGUCACUACUGGAGCAGGCUUCUCUGGCUCUGGAACAAAAGAAAUGGCCCAAAAUCAAUAUCUUAUAUUUUUUGGGACACUGGUUUAGAAAAGUUGGGAAUUGGCAAUAUUCACCGGGCUCUUUGAGGACUGUGUUGAUCUGGCUGAGAGCAGCUUUCUUCUCCUGAUCCAGGUCUUUCACCGUGAUGGUGUAGCCCAACUCAG